rnacentral:rRNA from 1 species
GAUGAACGCUGGCGGCGUGCUUAACACAUGCAAGUCGAACGAAGCACAUAAGGACGAGUCUUCGGAUGAAGCCGUAUGUGACUGAGUGGCGGACGGGUGAGUAACGCGUGGGUAACCUGCCUCACACAGGGGGAUAACAGUUGGAAACGACCGCUAAUACCGCAUAACCCGCUAGGGGCGCAUGCUCCGGACGGAAAAGAUUAAUCGGUGUGAGAUGGACCCGCGUCUGAUUAGCCAGUUGGCAGGGUAACGGCCUACCAAAGCGACGAUCAGUAGCCGGCCUGAGAGGGUGAACGGCCACAUUGGGACUGAGACACGGCCCAAACUCCUACGGGAGGCAGCAGUGGGGAAUAUUGCACAAUGGGGGGAACCCUGAUGCAGCGACGCCGCGUGAGUGAAGAAGUAUUUCGGUAUGUAAAGCUCUAUCAGCAGGGAAGAAAAUGACGGUACCUGACUAAGAAGCCCCGGCUAACUACGUGCCAGCAGCCGCGGUAAUACGUAGGGGGCAAGCGUUAUCCGGAUUUACUGGGUGUAAAGGGAGCGUAGACGGCGAUGCAAGUCAGAAGUGAAAGCCCGCGGCUCAACUGCGGGACUGCUUUUGAAACUGUAUAGCUUGAGUGCAGGAGAGGUAAGCGGAAUUCCUAGUGUAGCGGUGAAAUGCGUAGAUAUUAGGAGGAACACCAGUGGCGAAGGCGACUUACUGGACUGUAACUGACGUUGAGGCACGAAAGUGUGGGGAGCAAACAGGAUUAGAUACCCUGGUAGUCCACACCGUAAACGAUGGAUACUAGGUGUAGGAGAUAUUAAGUCUUCUGUGCCGUCGCAAACGCAAUAAGUAUCCCACCUGGGGAGUACGGCCGCAAGGUUGAAACUCAAAGGAAUUGACGGGGGCCCGCACAAGCAGUGGAGUAUGUGGUUUAAUUCGAAGCAACGCGAAGAACCUUACCAGGGCUUGACAUAUAUAGGAAUAUACUAGAGAUAGUAUAGCUCUUCGGAGUCUAUAUACAGGUGGUGCAUGGUUGUCGUCAGCUCGUGUCGUGAGAUGUUGGGUUAAGUCCCGCAACGAGCGCAACCCCUGUCCUUAGUUACCAGCAAGUAAAGUUGGGGACUCUAAGGAGACUGCCGUAGAUAAUACGGAGGAAGGUGGGGAUGACGUCAAAUCAUCAUGCCCUUUAUGUCCUGGGCUACACACGUGCUACAAUGGGUGUAACAGAGGGAAGCGAAAUAGUGAUAUGGAGCGAAACCCAAAAAGCACCCCCAGUUCGGAUUGCAGGCUGAAAUUCGCCUGCAUGAAGCCGGAAUUGCUAGUAAUGGCAGGUCAGCAUACUGCCGUGAAUACGUUCCCGGGCCUUGUACACACCGCCCGUCACACCAUGAGAGUUGGGGAUACCCAAAGCCCGUGAGCCAACUGUAAAGAGGCAGCGGUCUAAGGUAGAAUCAAUGAUUGGGGUG